rnacentral:lncRNA from 1 species
UUGGCAUGAUCAUGACCAUUGAUGAAUACACGAAUAUACUUGGCCCGUAGUGCAUGGAUAAUUUGUGGUCGUGAUACUAAUGAAUAUCCUUGGCCGUAAUGCAGGGAUGAUGUGGAUUAUUUAUUAAGCUGAGUCCCAGCGAUAAAAGUGAUGAAAAACCUUUUAAAUCAUAAAAGAUAGUAGAUUUUAUUCUCUACUUGACUCUUUU